rnacentral:tRNA from 1 species
GGGGUUGUGGCUCAGCGGUAGAGUGCUCACCUAGCAUAUGAGAGGGGCUGGGUUUGAUCCUCAGCACCACA